rnacentral:rRNA from 1 species
UGGCGGACGGGUGAGUAACGCGUGGGUAACCUGCCUCAUACAGGGGGAUAACAGUUAGAAAUGACUGCUAAUACCGCAUAAGACCACAGCACCGCAUGGUGCAGGGGUAAAAACUCCGGUGGUAUGAGAUGGACCCGCGUCUGAUUAGGUAGUUGGUGGGGUAACGGCCUACCAAGCCGACGAUCAGUAGCCGACCUGAGAGGGUGGCCGGCCACAUUGGGACUGAGACACGGCCCAA